rnacentral:rRNA from 1 species
GAUGAACGCUGGCGGCGUGCCUAAUACAUGCAAGUCGAGCGAACGGACGAGAAGCUUGCUUCUCUGAUGUUAGCGGCGGACGGGUGAGUAACACGUGGAUAACCUACCUAUAAGACUGGGAUAACUUCGGGAAACCGGAGCUAAUACCGGAUAAUAUUUUGAACCGCAUGGUUCAAAAGUGAAAGACGGUCUUGCUGUCACUUAUAGAUGGAUCCGCGCUGCAUUAGCUAGUUGGUAAGGUAACGGCUUACCAAGGCAACGAUGCAUAGCCGACCUGAGAGGGUGAUCAGCCACACUGGAACUGAGACACGGUCCAGACUCCUACGGGAGGCAGCAGUAGGGAAUCUUCCGCAAUGGGCGAAAGCCUGACGGAGCAACGCCGCGUGAGUGAUGAAGGCCUUCGGAUCGUAAAACUCUGUUAUUAGGGAAGAACAUAUGUGUAAGUAACUGUGCACAUCUUGACGGUACCUAAUCAGAAAGCCACGGCUAACUACGUG